GGAGUAGCAAUACAACUGGUGGCGACCGGCGCACGGGUGAGUAACGCGUAUGCAACCUAUCUAUCAGAGGGGAAUAACCCGGCGAAAGUCGGACUAAUACCGCAUAAAACAGGGGCACCGCAUGGUGAUAUUUGUUAAAGAAAUUCGCUGAUAGAUGGGCAUGCGUUCCAUUAGGUAGUUGGUGAGGUAACGGCUCACCAAGCCGACGAUGGAUAGGGGAACUGAGAGGUUGGUCCCCCACACUGGUACUGAGACACGGACCAGACUCCUACGGGAGGCAGCAGUGAGGAAUAUUGGUCAAUGGGCGAGAGCCUGAACCAGCCAAGUCGCGUGAAGGAAGAAGGAUCUAUGGUUCGUAAACUUCUUUUGCAGGGGAAUAAAGUGCAGGACGUGUCCUGUUUUGUAUGUACCCUGAGAAUAAGGAUCGGCUAACUCCGUGCCAGCAGCCGCGGUAAUACGGAGGAUCCGAGCGUUAUCCGGAUUUAUUGGGUUUAAAGGGUGCGUAGGUGGUUUUAUAAGUCAGCGGUGAAAGUUUGCAGCUUAACUGUAAAAAUGCCGUUGAAACUGUAAGACUUGAGUGUAAAUGAGGUAGGCGGAAUGCGUGGUGUAGCGGUGAAAUGCAUAGAUAUCACGAAGAACUCCGAUUG
rnacentral:rRNA from 1 species